AGACCGAUAGCGAACAAGUAGAGUGAUCGAAAGAUGAAAAGCACCUUGAAAAGGGGGUUAAACAGUACGUGAAAUUGUUAAAAGGGAAGCGUUUAUGACCAGACUUGUGUCGUGUGGCUCAUCCGAGGUUCUCCCCGGUGCACUCCACACGGCUCAGGCCAACAUCGGUUCUCGUUGGGGGAUAAGAACAGCAGGAACGUGGCCCUCUUCGGAGGGUGUUAUAGCCUGCUGUACGAUACCCUGAUGGGGACCGAGGACCGCGCUUCGGCUAGGAUGUUGGCGUAAUGGUCAUUAGCGACCCGUCUUGAAACACGGACCAAG
rnacentral:rRNA from 1 species